AGUGAACGCUGGCGGUAGGCCUAACACAUGCAAGCCGAACGGCAGCACAGUAAGAGCUUGCUCUUACGGGUGGCGAGUGGCGGACGGGUGAGGAAUACAUCGGAAUCUACUUUUUCGUGGGGGAUAACGUAGGGAAACUUACGCUAAUACCGCAUACGACCUACGGGUGAAAGCAGGGGAUCUUCGGACCUUGCGCGAUUGAAUGAGCCGAUGUCGGAUUAGCUAGUUGGCGGGGUAAAGGCCCACCAAGGCGACGAUCCGUAGCUGGUCUGAGAGGAUGAUCAGCCACACUGGAACUGAGGCACGGUCCAGACUCCUACGGGAGGCAGCAGUGGGGAAUAUUGGACAAUGGGCGCAAGCCUGAUCCAGCCAUACCGCGUGGGUGAAGAAGGCCUUCGGGUUGUAAAGCCCUUUUGUUGGGAAAGAAAAGCAGCAGGUUAAUACCCCGCUGUUCUGACGGUACCCAAAGAAUAAGCACCGGCUAACUUCGUG
rnacentral:rRNA from 1 species